GCAGAUGUGGUGAAAUAGGUAGACACGCCAGAUUUAGGUUCUGGUUUCGAAAGAAGUGCGAGUUCGAUUCUCGCCAUCUGCACCA
rnacentral:tRNA from 1 species